rnacentral:rRNA from 1 species
UGGAAGGAGGCUCUGGGGUUGUAAACCUCUUUUCUCAGGGAAGAACUAAAUGACGGUACCUGAGGAAUAAGCAUCGGCUAACUCCGUGCCAGCAGCCGNGGUAAUACGGAGGAUGCAAGCGACAUCCGGAAUGAUUGGAAGAUGAGCUUCCGCAGGUGUAAUUUUAAGACUAUUGUAAAAGCUCAGGGCUUAACCCUGGAGGGGUAGUGGAAACUGAAAUGCUGGAUCACUACCGGGGCAGAGGGAAUUCCCAGCGGANCGGUGAAUUGCGUAGAGAUAGGGAAGAACACCAGUGGCGAAAGCGCUCUGCUUGGCCGCAACUGACUCUCAUGGCCGAAAGGUAGGGGAGCGAAUGGGAUUAGAUNCCCCAGUAGUCCUAGCCGCAAACGAUGGAUACUAGGCGUUGAGAGUAUCGACCCUCUCAGUGUCGUAGCUAACGCGUUAAGUAUCCCGCCUGGGGAGUACGCGCGCAAGCGUGAAACUCAAAGGAAUUGACGGGGGCCCGCACAAGCGGUGGAGUAUGUGGUUUAAUUCGAUGCAACGCGAAGAACCUUACCAGGGCUAGACACGUCCGGAACCCUGCGGAAACGUGGGGGUGCGUACGGGAGCCGGAACACAGGUGGUGCAUNGCUGUNGUCAGCUUGUGUCNUGAGAUGUUGGGUUAANUCCCGCAACGAGCCCNACCCUCGUUUUUAGUUGCCAGCAUUAAGUUGGGCACUCUAGAGAGACUGCCGGUGACAAACCGGAGGAAGGUGGGGAUGACGUCANGUCAGCAUGCCCCUUACGUCCUGGGCUACACACGUACUACAAUGCUACGGACAAAGGGAAGCAAGCGUGCGAAUGCAAGCAAAUCCCAUAAACCGUGGCUCAGUUCAGAUUGCAGGCUGCAACUCGCCUGCAUGAAGGCGGAAUCGCUAGUAAUCCCAGAUCAGCAUGNCUGGGGUGAAUACGUUCCCGGGCCUUGUACACACCGCCCGUCACACCAUGGAAGCUGGUUAUGCCCGAAGUCGUUACCCUAACCGCGUGCGGAGGNGACGCCGAAGGCAG